UAUCCCAUGUGCAGGAGCAGGGUCUUAGCUAGGAUUUUAGAUCUUGGGCGUGUUUCUAAAUGACCAGGGUGUGCCCAUGUAAUAGCCAAAUUCACGGUUCUAGUUAUGCUUGCCAGCAACAGACAAUGCCUGUGGUUGUUGUAUGAGUUGCAACCAAAUACAAGGCUAUACGCUCACACUGCGUACUGACAUUAAAAUAGUAUAAGUUAUUUUAGCAACUCUUGGGGGUAUUUAAAGCCAUUUUAACACCAUUCCCAUUAUCCAUCAAAACAUCACGGAUGACUUUUGCCAAAUUCAACAACAACAGUAGAUUUACAAUCUUUCUUACGACGUAAAUAGGAAGAAAUUCUGUCUGUUGUAAGUAGCAACACGUUAUUUUAUGAACCUACACGGCCUUAUAUAAAUAAUGAAGCCGC